AGUUUCAUUUCAACAGGCGCUGCUGUACUAACCACCAGUUUGAACGGAGUAUGGACUUUGACGGAAAAAGAAGAACACAACAUCAGCAUCACCGGGCAAGUUCCUGGCAGCAUGUACACCGCUCUGAUGGAUCAUAAAAUAAUCCAGGAUCCAUAUUACCGUAACAACGACAUCCGCUACCGCUGGAUUGGUCAGGCUGACUGGACGUACAGCCGGGUAUUCAAUGUCUCAUCACAAAUGAUGUCAAUGGCGAACAUAAAACUGGUGUGUGAGGGGCUGGACACAUUCGCCACGGUAACCAUAAAUGGACACUUAGUGGCAGAGACCAACAACAUGUUCGUGAAAUAUGUGAUGGACAUAAAACCCUAUGUAAAGCUAGGAGAGAACAGUAUCAGUGUGUCCUUCAAGUCGGCGGUCAAGCAAGCAGCGAUUCUGGCCAGCAACCACAGCUACUUGAUCCCGCCCGCUUGUCCAGUCCCUCAGUACAAGGGGGAGUGUCACGUCAACAUGGUCAGGAAGGAGCAGUGCUCCUUUAGCUGGGACUGGGGGCCGUCGUUCCCCACCCAGGGGAUGUGGCGAGAUAUUUACAUAGAGUCAUUCAACACGACAGCCAUUCGUAGCUUCACUGCUGAAACACUGAAAGACACUGAUGGAUCAUGGGUAAUUGACACAGAGGUACUCUUGGAUGUUCCUGAGGGUGAGACGGUAGAAGGCUCUGUCAAGAUCCGGUUUGAUGUCACAGGCAUGGGAAGCAAGCAGGUCCAUACGCUGACGUCAAACAACAACAAGAUCAAACAGAGGCUGCAACUAGACAGGGACUUCGUUGUACAAGAGUGGUGGCCAAACGGUUAUGGAGCCCAACAUCUUUAUCAACUCUACGCUUUCUUCACAAGUUCUGAUGGUCGCACCCUAUCGGCAAAAAAACUGACCAUUGGUUUCAAAACAGUGGAGCUGAUGCAGGACUUUGUGUCUGGAGAUCCUAAACAAGGUAGAUCUUUCUUCUUUAAGAUUAAUGGAGUGCCCAUCUUCCUGAAGGGCAGUAACUGGAUCCCAGCGGACAGCUUUCUUGAGCGGGUGACCAAAGAGAGGCUGAGGAACCUGCUCCAGUCGGCCAGGGAUGUCCACAUGAACUCCAUGAGAGUGUGGGGAGGAGGGGUGUAUGAGUCGGAGGACUUCUACGAGCUGGCCGAUGAGCUAGGGAUCCUGAUCUGGCAGGACCUGAUGUUUGGGUGUGCUAUGUACCCCUCAGACCCCCAGUUCCUGUCCACGGUCAGCGACGAGAUCUCACAGCAGGUGAAACGUCUCAAGUCGCACGCUUCCUUACUUCUGUGGAGUGGGAAUAACGAAAACGAGAAAGCUCUACGACAAAGCUGGUACAACACAGAUGUAAACUUUACGCUUUACUACAAGGAUUAUGUUACUCUGUAUCAUGACACAAUUCAGCCAAUCGUCCAAUCAGAGGACUUGACUCAUCCCUUCAUUAUGUCCAGCCCUAGUAAUGGAAUCGAGAGUUUACAGGAGGGCUUUGUUGCCAAGGAACCAUGGAGUGAGCUCUAUGGAGACAUACAUGACUACCGUUACAUGGACCCGUUCUUUGACCAAAGUGUGUACCGAGUCCCCAGGAUGGCCUCAGAGUAUGGCCUCCAGUCCUUGCCGUCGUACGAGACUCUGGCCGAUGUAUACGCCGAGGAAGACAUGGACCUGUGUUCUGACAUGAGCGAGCACAGACAACAUCAUCCACUGGGUAAUGUGCAGCUGAUGGCUGAAGUCAUUCUCUACCUGAACCUACCUAAUUCUCCAGACAGGAAACAAAAGUUCAAGGACACCAUUUAUGUCACACAGAUUGACCAGGCCAUUGCAAUGAAAACAGAGACGGAGCACUACCGGCGCUGGCAGAACCGACUGGAUGAAAGUGGGAGGGGUAACACAAUGGGGGCCAUGUACUGGCAGCUCAAUGACAUCUGGCAGGCCCCCACCUGGUCCUCCAUAGAGUAUGGAGGAAAAUGGAAGAUGCUCCAGUACUUUGCCCAGCACUUUUUCUCUCCCCUGCUUAUCUCCCCUUAUGAGGAGAGUGGCAUGGCCAAGGUUUACAUCUGUGUAGAUGAAAUCAAACUCCAUGUGACCAGGCACCCCCACACCCACCACCUACAGUUUGUGCCCAAUCCUCAGCACAAGGCUGGCUUUCUGUUCGGUGACAUGGUGGAUUCCAACCCCCAGCCCCACUCAGUGGGACCGAAAGGCACACUGUAUAUCUCCAUGUACUCCUGGGCUAGCAUGGAACCACUGUACAACUGGACUCAGGAAUACCAGGUGAGGGAAGCUCAAUAACUGGACUCAAGAAUUGGACUUGGGGGUUUCAGAUGAAUGUGACAUCCCAGCUUGUCUUCUCAGCCAACAUUAACAACAUGUUACAUCAGGCCGACUGCAUCAGACGACAGAACUGCUUCCUGUUCUAUCACCUAGGCAACCCUCAAAAUGGCCCCACAGCUUGGCAGGCUCUCUCAACCUUUAGUGCAGUGAUUGGGUUAAAGAAAGCCAAAAUACAGGUUACAAACAUCAUUACUGUGAAGAAAGACCAAGUUUUCAACAUCACCAUUAGUACAUCAGCCAUCGCUCCAUUUGUCUGGCUAGACACCCCUGGAGUUCAAGGUCGUUUCUCUGACAACGGGUUCCUCAUGGUUCAGCGAGUGAAGCAGCUGCAGUACUUUGCCUGGGAAUCGGUAGACCAGAACAGACUGGGCAGCAGUCUGACCAUCAAGUCCCUGAUGGACAUUUACUACUAACUGAUGAACAAUAACAUGGUGACAGAGUGCCAUAGCUAGGGUCAAGUGCAAUUCCCUCUGUAUUCAGUGGACCAGGACUGUGAUAGAUUAUUGCUCACACAUAUAUAUAUGUUUACUUCAAUAUCUAUACUUACGUGCAUCAACUUUUUUCAUUUUACCAGAGCUGUCUGAACUUUUGAGACCACCCCUAUCGCUCACACACACACACAUGUAUAUCAUAUAUACAAUAUGUAUAUAUAUAUACACACAUGUAUAUCAAUGUUUUUUAUGAUGAAGGUGCUCAAACCAUUUUUCACUUUAUAUGCAAUUGAUUUUAAAGCUUUAAUGUCUGAGUCUUUGUAUUUGCAAUACAAACACUAUGAUGAAAAUCAAUGCCAAGGAUAUUGAUUGUUUUGAGUAAUAUUUAAUACCAGUAAACUUAUAUCUCCAUAGUC
rnacentral:misc_RNA from 1 species